UACGAAGGGGGCAAGCGUUGUUCGGAAUUACUGGGCGUAAAGGGAGUGUAGGCGGUUUAAUAAGAUAGCGGUGAAAUACCGGGGCUCAACCUCGGAAUUGCCGUUAUAACUAUUAAUCUUGAAUUGUAGAGAGGAUAGCGGAAUACCCAGUGUAGAGGUGAAAUUCGUAGAUAUUGGGUAGAACACCGGUGGCGAAGGCGGCUAUCUGGCUACAUAUUGACGCUGAGGUGCGAAAGCGUGGGGAGCAAACAGG
rnacentral:rRNA from 1 species